rnacentral:rRNA from 1 species
CCUUACCUUGGAUCCUGGCUCAUGAUGAACGCUAGCUACAGGCUUAACACAUGCAAGUCGAGGGGCAGCAUGGUCUUAGCUUGCUAAGGCCGAUGGCGACCGGCGCACGGGUGAGUAACGCGUAUCCAACCUGCCUUACACUCUUGGACAGCCUUCUGAAAGGGAGAUUAAUACAAGAUGUUAUCAUGAGUAAGCAUUUUCGCAUGAUUAAAGGUUUACCGGUGUAAGAUGGGGAUGCGUUCCAUUAGAUAGUAGGCGGGGUAACGGCCCACCUAGUCUUCGAUGGAUAGGGGUUCUGAGAGGAAGGUCCCCCACAUUGGAACUGAGACACGGUCCAAACUCCUACGGGAGGCAGCAGUGAGGAAUAUUGGUCAAUGGACGAGAGUCUGAACCAGCCAAGUAGCGUGAAGGAUGAAGGUUCUAUGAAUUGUAAACUUCUUUUAUACGGGAAUAAACGAAUCCACGUGUGGAUUUUUGCAUGUACCGUAUGAAUAAGGAUCGGCUAACUCCGUGCCAGCAGCCGCGGUAAUACGGAGGAUCCGAGCGUUAUCCGGAUUUAUUGGGUUUAAAGGGAGCGUAGAUGGGUUGUUAAGUCAGUUGUGAAAGUUUGCGGCUCAACCGUAAAAUUGCAAUUGAUACUGGCAGUCUUGAGUACAGUUGAGGUAGGCGGAAUUCGUGGUGUAGCGGUGAAAUGCUUAGAUAUCACGAAGAACUCCGAUUGCGAAGGCAGCUUACUAACCUGUAACUGACAUUGAUGCUCGAAAGUGUGGGUAUCAAACAGGAUUAGAUACCCUGGUAGUCCACACGGUAAACGAUGAAUACUCGCUGUAGGCGAUAUACGGUCUGCGGCC